GCCAGCUGAAGUCACCUGAUGCAAGCAAUAAUCAAAGAGGUUAAACAAGAGCCUGUGCAGGAGAGUUGGCAGCAACCAGAGAGGAAACCACUGAACAGACCAGCGACUGGAGGCAGCUGCCCCAGGACCUGCACCCCAUACACAGAAGGAGCAAGUGCGGGAGAGCUCGAGCAACAGACAGAGCCUUUGGGAGCCGGGUACUUGGAGCAAAUCUAAGGAAGCCAUGUCUCCAAGAGAUGCCUGCCCUGCCCUGCUGCUCCUCCUGCUGACCCUGCCGUCAGCCUGGCCAGCCGUGGACAGCGGGGAAAUAGGAAGCCAGAAGUUUCAAAGGCAGCACGUCGACCCAUUUACUAGGCAGCCAUAUGAUGAUGCCUACUGCAAUCGGAGGAUGAAGGCUCAGAGAAUCACCUUGGGCACCUGCAAGACCCCGAACACCUUCAUCCACGUGCCAUCAUCAUUAAUAAAUAGCAUCUGCACUGGGGCUGGGACAAAAAAACCACGAACCAAUUAUUACUACAGCAACAACAGCUUCCUUGUCACUGAGUGCACGUUUGUAAGCGGCUCCCCACCGAAUGGCUGUAAAUACAAGGCUAGGUCCUAUAAGCAGAGGAUUUGCAUCGCUUGCACUAGAAACCUGCCUGUGCACUACAGCUCAGUGAAAAAGUGCAGGCCCUGAAUCCCGCACUGCUUUGCAGCUUUUGCUCGCAGCGGGUCCCCAGGGCCAAAGCCUCUCAGCCUGGCCCUCUCCCUGCUCCCUUCUGGACCAUGAAGCCAGAUCAUUCUGUGUCCCCAAAUCUUAGUCUCCCCAUUCCAGCUCUUCUGCUGCCAUCAGGGUCUGUUGUGCACUACAGGAGGGGCCGGAUCCUGGUGCAGAGCAAGCACCCUCCUGCUGCCGAGUCCUCAGUGCUGUUACUGAGCUGAAUUUCUUGCUGCUUUCUGCAAUAAACUUUGGCAACUGCAAA